rnacentral:rRNA from 1 species
GGAAUUCCUAGUGUAGCGGUGAAAUGCGUAGAGAUUAGGAAGAACACCAGUGGCGAAGGCGGCUUUCUGGACUGUAACUGACGCUGAGGCACGAAAGCGUGGGUAGCAAACAGGAUUAGAUACCCUGGUAGUCCACGCCGUAAACGAUGGAUACUAGGUGUAGGGGGUAUCAACUCCCCCUGUGCCGCAGUUAACACAAUAAGUAUCCCGCCUGGGGAGUACGGUCGCAAGAUUAAAACUCAAAGGAAUUGACGGGGGCCCGCACAAGCAGCGGAGCAUGUGGUUUAAUUCGAAGCAACGCGAAGAACCUUACCUGGACUUGACAUCCCUUGCAUAGCCUAGAGAUAGGUGAAGCCCUUCGGGGCAAGGAGACAGGUGGUGCAUGGUUGUCGUCAGCUCGUGUCGUGAGAUGUUAGGUUAAGUCCUGCAACGAGCGCAACCCUUGUUAUUAGUUGCUACCAUUAAGUUGAGCACUCUAAUGAGACUGCCUGGGUAACCAGGAGGAAGGUGGGGAUGACGUCAAAUCAUCAUGCCCCUUAUGUCCAGGGCUACACACGUGCUACAAUGG